rnacentral:rRNA from 1 species
AUUGAACGCUGGCGGCAUGCCUUACACAUGCAAGUCGAACGGCAGCACGGGAGCAAUCCUGGUGGCGAGUGGCGAACGGGUGAGUAAAGUAUCGGAACGUGCCCAGUCGUGGGGGAUAACGUAGCGUAAGUUACGCUAAUACCGCAUACGAUCUAUGGAUGAAAGCGGGGGAUGGCAAGACCUCGCGCGAUUGGAGCGGCCGAUAUCAGAUUAGGUAGUUGGUGGGGUAAAGGCUCACCAAGCCGACGAUCUGUAGCUGGUCUGAGAGGACGACCCGCCACACUGGGACUGAGACACGGCCCAGGCGCCUACGGGAGGCAGCAGUGGGGAAUUUUGGACAAUGGGCGAAAGCCUGAUCCAGCCAUGCCGCGUGCAGGAUGAAGGCCUUCGGGUUGUAAACUGCUUUUGUACGGAACGAAAAGGUUUGGGCUAAUAAGCUGAGCUCAUGACGGUACCGUAAGAAUAAGCACCGGCUAACUACGUGCCAGCCGCCGCGGUAA